rnacentral:rRNA from 1 species
CCUACGGGAGGCAGCAGUGGGGAAUAUUGCACAAUGGGGGGAACCCUGAUGCAGCGACGCCGCGUGAGUGAAGAAGUAUUUCGGUAUGUAAAGCUCUAUCAGCAGGGAAGAAAAUGACGGUACCUGACUAAGAAGCCCCGGCUAACUACGGGCCAGCAGCCGCGGUAAUACGGAGGGGGCAAGCGUUAUCCGGCUUUACUGGGUGUAAAGGGAGCGUAGACGGUUCUGCAAGUCUGACGUGAAAGCCCAAGGCUCAACCCUGGGACUGCUUUGGAAACGGGAAACCUGUAGUGCAGGAGAGUGCAGCUGCAUGCCUAGUGUAGCGGUGAAAUGCGUAGAUAUUAGGAGGAACACCUGUGGCGCGGGCGGCUUACUUGACUGUACCUGACGUUGCGGCUCGAAGUCGUGGGGAGCAAACAGGAUUAGAUACCCCGGUAGUC